AGAGUUUGAUCAUGGCUCAGAUUGAACGCUGGCGGAAUGCUUUACACAUGACAAGGUUGAACGGCAGCACGGGGCAACCUGGUGGCGAGUGGCGAACGGGUGAGUAAUACAUCGGAACGUGCCCAAUCGUGGGGGAUAACGUAGCGAAAGUUACGCUAAUACCGCAUACGAUCUACGGAUGAAAGCGGGGGAUCGCAAGACCUCGCGCGAAUGGAGCGGCCGAUGUCAGAUUAGGUAGUUGGUGGGGUAAAGGCUCACCAAGCCAACGAUCUGUAGCUGGUCUGAGAGGACGACCAGCCACACUGGAACUGAGACACGGUCCAGACUCCUACGGGAGGCAGCAGUGGGGAAUUUUGGACAAUGGGCGCAAGCCUGAUCCAGCCAUUCCGCGUGCAGGAUGAAGGCCUUCGGGUUGUAAACUGCUUUUGUACGGAACGAAACGGUCUGCCCUAAUACGGUGGGCUAAUGACGGUACCGUAAGAAUAAGCACCGGCUAACUACGUG
rnacentral:rRNA from 1 species